rnacentral:rRNA from 1 species
GAUGAACGCUGGCGGCGUGCCUAACACAUGCAAGUCGAGCGAACGGACGAGAAGCUUGCUUCUCUGAUGUUAGCGGCGGACGGGUGCUUAACACGUGGAUAACCUACCUAUAAGACUGGGAUAACUUCGCGAGACCGUAUCUAAUACCCGAUAAUAUUUUGAACCUCAUGGUUCAAAAGUUAAAGAAGGUCUUGCUUUCACUAAUAGACUGAUCCGCGCUGCAUUAGCUAGUUGGUAAGGUAACGGCUUACCAAGGCAGCGAUGCAUACCCGACCUGAGCGGGUGAUCGGCCAGACUGGAACUGAGAAAGGUCCCAGACUCCGACGGGAGGCAGCAGUAGGGAAUCUUCCGCGAUGGGCGAAAGCCUGACGGAGCAACGCCGCGUGAGUGAUGAAGGUCUUCGGAUGGUAAAGCGCUGUUAUUAGGGAGGAACAUAUGUGUAAGUAACUGUGUAGAUCUUGACGGUACCUAAACAGAAAGCCACGGCUAACUACGUG